GCAGUCAGAAGAAGUUACAUUUAAGCGGAAUUUUGAAGGAUAAAUGGGCAUCAGCUGAUGAAAGAGGGAGGGGCAGUGGACACUUUCAAUCAGAGGGAACACCAUGUGUAAAGGACAUGAAGAGGAAAAUCUUGUUACUUUUAGACAUCUGAAGGAAGCCCAGUGUGGCUUGGACUUUGAGCAUUCCUAGAAGACAGUGAUGACCAGAACUUGAAGCUCUAACAUACAGAUAUUCCUGGAUAAAAACAGGGAAAGUGAGAAUGAUUGGCUCUAGAUAUACUCAAGUUUUUUGCCAUAGGCCCUUGGAGGGCUGUUGACAAGAGAUACUGAGAAACUGGUGGCAUUUCCUCGCAUAUAACAGUUGACUAGCUUGAAAAUGUGAAUAAUGGAUGCCUUUCACGUAACAAUUGGAUUAAAGAAACCACCUCAAUAAAUACUCACUGAGCAUCUUCUCUAUGUAAGCCAUUGUAUGUGUGGAAGAUAUUGAAAAGAAUAAGUUUCCCUACAUCCCAGGAUCUUAUCACCUUUUCAGUAAAAGUAUAAUGAGAAAUGAUUAACUCUAAAAUGAGGCAGAGUGUAACAUACUAGUGUGGGUAGAGGGAAAAAUUCUCCCUUUCACAGGUGGA